UUAAUAACAUUACAAGGUUAUCAACUCUUUCUUGGUGAGGAACGUUGUUGCGCGGGACAGGAGAAAGCUUGAGAGCCUGCUGCCCAAUCUCGCCAAGGCGAUGAGAUGUAGGCUUGCUCACCACUGCUCUGCUGGUUGCUGCACUUCCAAGGGCUCAGAUGCUAAGUGAGCACCUCCUCGCUGACAACCUAUUCGUCGCCAAGCUCAUCUUGGAGUGGUUCGUCGGGUCAUCACUAAUGUCUUCUCUAUUUUGAGAUGCUGCAGUUUCACCGCCUCUAGACAGGCCGUUGGCGACCGCCACUGCCACUUAUAUAUAUACACAUAUAUACACUCAAUGUAGUGUGUGCUUCUUAAGCCUGUC
rnacentral:rRNA from 1 species